rnacentral:rRNA from 1 species
GAUGAACGCUGGCGGCGUGCUUAACACAUGCAAGUCGAACGGUAAGGCCCCUUCGGGGGUACACGAGUGGCGAACGGGUGAGUAACACGUGGGCAAUCUGCCCUUCUCUCCGGGAUACCUCAGGGAAACUUGAGCUAAUACCGGAUACUCCGGGACGAUCGCAUGGUCGACCCGGGAAAGCUCCGACGGAGAAGGAUGAGCCCGCGGCCCAUUAGCUUGUUGGUGAGGUAACGGCUCACCAAGGCUGCGAUGGGUAGCCGAGCUGAGAGGCUGAUCGGCCACACUGGGACUGAGACACGGCCCAGACUCCUACGGGAGGCAGCAGUGGGGAAUCUUGCGCAAUGGGCGAAAGCCUGACGCAGCAACGCCGCGUGCGGGAUGAAGGCCUUCGGGUUGUAAACCGCUUUCAGCAGGGACGAAACUGACGGUACCUGCAGAAGAAGCCCCGGCUAACUACGUGCCAGCCGCCGCCGUAAUAC